UGCUCGGGGCUCUCUCAGGCGCCAUCCUACCUGGGAGUGAAACUGAGGGACCGUUUCCUGGGCGCCGUCUGGCAGGUGAAGAAACUGAGGCUUGGAGAGGCUGAGCAGUUUGGGCAAGAUUGCAUUGUGGUCGGCGACGGAGCUGGAAGGCAGAUGGUCUCUAAGAAAGACGGUGGUCAGCAGCCCCAGGCUUAGAUCCGGUGCUCUCAGCAACUCCGGUGGAAAGAAGUGCAUCUCACAAGAGUUCCAACAGGAACUUUAGCACUGAGUGGCCUUGACGCUGACUAACCUAGCCUGGGUCCAUUUAUGGCAAGCUCGGGAUGGGCCAAUCCGUUCCAAGUGCCUUACUUGUUCUAGCCCACUGCAUUCUCCUGGACUC